CAAUAGCGUAUAUUAAAGUUGUUGCGGUUAAAACGCUCGUAGUUUGAAAUCUGUUAAGGACGAUCUGUCUGCCCUCUGGGUGUGUAUUUGGUCUAGCCUUGGCAUUUCCUUGAACAAGACAACUGCACUUGAUUGUGUGGUGUUGAUUUCAAGGUGUUUACUUUGAGGAAAUCAGAGUGCUUCCAGCAGGUGUGCGCCUUGAAUACAUUAGCAUGGAAUAUCAUUAUAUGGUUUGGAUUUUUACUUGUUGGUUUUUAAAAUUGAAGCAAUGAUAAAUAGGGAUAAUUGGGGGCACUUGUAUUUAAUUGUCAGAGGUGAAAUUCUUGGAUUUGUGAAAGACAAACUACUGCGAAAGCAUUUGCCGAAAAUGUUUUCAUUGA
rnacentral:rRNA from 1 species